GAUGAACGCUGGCGGCGUGCCUAAUACAUGCAAGUCGAGCGAACGGACGAGAAGCUUGCUUCUCUGAUGUUAGCGGCGGACGGGUGAGUAACACGUGGAUAACCUACCUAUAAGACUGGGAUAACUUCGGGAAACCGGAGCUAAUACCGGAUAAUAUUUUGAACCGCAUGGUUCAAAAGUGAAAGACGGUCUUGCUGUCACUUAUAGAUGGAUCCGCGCUGCAUUAGCUAGUUGGUAAGGUAACGGCUUACCAAGGCAACGAUGCAUAGCCGACCUGAGAGGGUGAUCGGCCACACUGGAACUGAGACACGGUCCAGACUCCUACGGGAGGCAGCAGUAGGGAAUCUUCCGCAAUGGGCGAAAGCCUGACGGAGCAACGCCGCGUGAAUGAUGAAGGUCUUCGGAUCGUAAACCUCUGUUAUUAGGGAAGAACAUAUGUGUAAGUAACUGUGCACAUCUUGACGGUACCUAAUCAGAAAGCCACGGCUAACUACGUG
rnacentral:rRNA from 1 species